UACGGAGGAGGCAAGCGUUAUCCGGAAUUAUUGGGCGUAAAGCGUCCGCAGGUGGCACUUCAAGUCUGUCGUCAAAGACUGGGGCUUAACCCUGGAAAGGCGGUGGAAACUGAGGCGCUAGAGUGCGGUAGGGGUAGAGGGAAUUCCCGGUGUAGCGGUGAAAUGCGUAGAGAUCGGGAAGAACAUCGGUGGCGAAAGCGCUCUACUGGACCGCAACUGACACUCAGGGACGAAAGCUAGGGGAGCGAAUGGG
rnacentral:rRNA from 1 species